AUUGAACGCUGGCGGCAGGCCUAACACAUGCAAGUCGAACGAGUGGCGGACGGGUGAGCAAUGUCUGGGAAACUGCCUGAUGGAGGGGGAUAACUACUGGAAACGGUAGCUAAUACCGCAUACCAUCGGAUGUGCCCAGUUGGGAUUAGCUAGUGGGGGGGGUAACGGCUCACCUAGGCGACGAUCCAUAGCUGGUCUGAGAUGAUGACCAGCCACACUGGAACUGAGACACGGUCCAGACGCCUACGGGAGGCAGCAGUGGGGAAUAUUGGACAAUGGGCGAAAGCCUGAUGCAGCCAUGCCGCGUGUGUGAAGAAGGCCUUCGGGUUGUAAAGUACUUUCAGCGGGGAGGCGUUACCCACAGAAGAAGCACCGGCUAACUCCGUGCCAGCAGCCGCGGUAAUAC
rnacentral:rRNA from 1 species